rnacentral:lncRNA from 1 species
CGGGUGACCCGGGUUCGAUCCCCGGCAACGGCGAUUUCUAAGAACUCUUUUGAAAUAACUUCGCAUAAUCAUUUUAUUAACUGUUGCCAAAUAGCAGUUCGUUAGACAAAAAUCAAUCACUCAUUUUUUAUGCCGUAGACGAAUAUUUUAUAAAAACGAGAAAAAAGCCAUAAAUGAAAACUCCAUAAUAAUAAAUUUUUUGAUGCUUUGAAAUUACAUUGAAAAGAUAUGUAGAAAAAAUAUAUUGAACUGCACACAUAGACAC